ensembl:snRNA U6 U6 spliceosomal RNA
GUCUGUGCCCACUUUGGCAGAACAAUACUAAAAGUGAAACUAUACAGAGAAUAGCCCAUCCUCUGUUUAAGGAUGACAUGUAAAUUCUUAAAGCUCUCCACAUUUUU